CCGCAGGGACGACCCUGCAAGAGCCUUUUCCACUAUCGGGGACGACCCCU
rnacentral:ncRNA from 1 species